rnacentral:rRNA from 1 species
AACGAACGCUGGCAGCGCGCCUAACACAUGCAAGUCGAACGAGAAUCCGGGGCAACCCGGUAGUAAAGUGGCAAACGGGUGAGGAAUACAUGGGUAACCUACCCUUGAGAAGGGAAUAACCCGCCGAAAGGUGAGCUAAUACCCUAUACGCUAUCUUUUUUUCGAAAGGAAUAGGAAAGACCGGGUCGGAGGACCUGGUACUCAAGGAGGGGCGUCAUGUCCUAUCAGCUUGUUGGUGGGGUAACGGGCCUACCAAGGCUACGACGGGUAGCUGGUCUGAGAGGAUGAUCAGCCACACUGGCACUGAGAUACGGGCCAGACUCCUACGGGAGGCAGCAGUGAGGAAUAUUGCGCAAUGGGCGAAAGCCUGACGCAGCGACGCCGCGUGGGGGAGUGAAGGUUUUCGGUA